rnacentral:rRNA from 1 species
CCUACGGGAGGCAGCAGUGAGGAAUAUUGGUCAAUGGACGCAAGUCUGAACCAGCCAUGCCGCGUGCAGGAAGACGGCUCUAUGAGUUGUAAACUGCUUUUGUACGAGGGUAAACGCAGAUACGCGUAUCUGUCUGAAAGUAUCGUAAGAAUAAGGAUCGGCUAACUCCGUGCCAGCAGCCGCGGUAAUACGGAGGAUUCAAGCGUUAUCCGGAUUUAUUGGGGUUAAAGGGUGCGUAGGCGGUCGGCGAAGUUAGAGGUGAAAUCCCGAGGCUCAACUUCGGAAUUGCCUCUGAUACUGUUCGGCGAGAGAGUAGUUGCGGUAGGCGGAAUGUAUGGUGUAGCGGUGAAAUGCUUAGAGAUCAUACAGAACACCGAUUGCGAAGGCAGCUUACCAAGCUACUUCUGACGUUGAGGCACGAAAGCGUGGGGAGCAAACAGGAUUAGAUACCCUUGUAGUC